GUCAAAACUCGAGCUGCUGCGUUCUGAAUGAGCUGCAGCUGGUUGAUACAUUUUUGGGGGAGUCCAGUCAAAAGACCAUUACCCUAGUCAAGUGUACUGGAGAUGAAAGGCUCAGUGUGGUGGCUAUCUUACUUGUUCUUUUUCUUGUUCUUCAUUUCUUUGUUUAUAACCACUCUAAUAAAUGACAGGAGACCGUUUACGCAUAACUCUGGCCGGCCGCGGACACAGACGUGUGACCCGGUGUCAUGGUAAAACGACCGUGUCGCUCCGCCAUUUCUUUAUUGAAAACAUACAACACACCUCUUCACUUCCUGCUUCCCACGGAAGCCACAUAAGCUCAAAACACUGGCGGCUCAAUACUCAUUGAAACACAUUGAAACCUUUUCUCUCCUGGUUGAAUUGAACAUGAAAUAAACAAUAAUAAAUGGCGCUUACAUUCCGGCCCCUAAUUGUUACUGCUGGGCACAACAAUUACAUUCCUACAUAUUAAAGCGUCAUUUAGUGUGAAACUCUGAAAUAAUGAACUUCCUUUUGUUGCCUUUGUUUACAUGAACAACAUACAUUUCUUCACAUUAACAGUACUUCAAGUACAGGUGUGUCACACACACAAGCAUGAACUUAUUCUUCCAUCUCAAGCAAUAAACAUAACUUAUCUACUGGUCUUUCCAAAACACUUGUUUUAGUUUUUACAAAAGCACGUCUAACAAGACCCUUUGCAUCAGGAACUGUCUUUUCCAUUUUUCCCAUCAACCAUGAACCUCUCGGUGCGCUGUCGUCCACUAUGAGCACGACAUCACUUUCUUUCAGAUUUCUCCUGAUUUCUGUCCACUUUUGCCUCUCCUGCAAGAGCGGCAGGUAUUCCCUUGUCCAACGUUUCCAAAAGAUGUCAGACAGGUAUUGCACCUGCUUCCACCUCUUUCUGUCCUCUCUCUCAAACACUCCAGGAGGCAGCACUGGUUGUUUUUUCAAAAGAAGCAAAUGAUCAGGUGUAAGAGCCUCUGUGGCAUGUGGAUCAUUUGACACUCUUGUUAUGGGUCUGCCAUUUACAAUAGCCUCGACUUCACAAAACAAUGUGUGGAGACGUUCGUCGUCAAGAAGUUGUCAAGAAAUGCUUGUGUCUCAAUCUUUUCAAUCUUUAGCUGAUCUUUCCUUGCCUUUAACUUGCACUCUUCAAGCUCUAAUGACUCUAUCUCUUUCAAGGAUGCUGCUUGUGCAAGUAAAGCUGCAUGUUCUGCUUGUUCCUUCUGACGCAUGGAUGAGAUGGAUGAUCUUGAAAAUCCUGAAGAUCUAGAAGUUCUGGACGUUCCGGUUCUGGACGAUCCAGUUCUGGACGAUCCGGUUCUGGACGAUCCAGAUCUGGGCGGUCUAGUAGAAUGGUCAACAGCUGUGCUUUGUCCCUCAUGAAGCACAGGUUCAUCCUCCGCUGGUGCAGCAACCAUAGAUACGCUGUCAUCUGGACUCACAGCGUCUUGAUACUGUUGCCUUGAUGCAUAGAUCCAUCCUUCAGCUUCAUUAACAAAUUGAUUGAAUCUUUCAUUCUUUGGCUUGAACCAAAAUGUUUGAUCUGCAUCCUUUUCAUCAUCAGGCAACAGUCUGAGUACACCAUCAUUUGCAUGACCAAACUCUCUCAAAAGUUUUGAGCAUUCAACCAAAUGUUCAUCAACAGUGUCUGGACUCUCAUUGUCUUUCAUUAGUCCGUCUAUUUUGUUCACCUUUGACGUUAACUGUGAUAGUUUGGACCUUCUUGUGUUUAUAAAUCGGCUUAGUAGCUCUUCUAGGCCCCGUUCGGUGGGCUUUGGUGCCCUCUUGUGGUCAUUCUUGCUCCCGCAGCUCAGUGUUCUUGGUCUUGUCAUGACGCCGCCGUCAGCCAUGUUUGUUUACGCAACGUCUGACUCAACUGUUCAUAAAACGGUCUAUAACACAAAGCACCGUGGCUUUCUUUAUGAGUGUUAUCUUAUGAAGACCGAACAUGCUAGUCGUCUCACUUUUGUCUUCUGGCUUUGUACUUUCACUUAUCUGGAAGCGUAGCGUUGUGGUCUUGCCUCGUUGCGUUCGGCUAUGUGGACUUAAUGGCGGCGCGGCCUCGUGUUGCUGAGCUGGUCGUUUUACUUAAUGUGGUGGCUAUCUUACUUGUUCUUUUUCUUGUUCUUCAUUUCUUUGUUUAUGUGGCAGGUCGGGUGUUGCUCUGCUCCACCCCCUCCCACUUAAUCAGUAUCACCGGUGCUUGAUUGCGCAUUGGCAGCACCUGGUUAACUACUGCGCUCCUCCGGGGCGCAUUCUCUCCCUGGCAUUCACCUGGAAAGGCUCUGGGUCGGCGUGCUCCAGUUUGGUUGGUGUUCGGUGUGAUUUCGCCAGUUUUGGCCGUACUGGUUGGGUUGCAGCUGGAGGAAGUGGUGUCCGCGUUCUGCUGUUGUUGAGGACUGGUUUUUUUUAGUGCGUAAAGCUCUCUCUAUCGGUAAGCAUGCUCGUUGUUAAUCAUGGUUAACUAUAGUAGCCCUUUGCUAACAGCUGUUGCCCUCUGCUCUGUCCUGCUGUAGCUGCUGAAUUUGCAGCGGUUCUGUCUCUCCUCCUGCGCUCUGUGGAUCCACUGCACAGCCUAUUGAUGACCACCGCAGCCACCUACGCAUAACAUCCGCUGCCUCCAGCCUUGGUGCAGCCGCUCCGUUUUCACGCUGUCUUCCACACCGUAGUUUCUUUUUCUUAAUGUCCUGAGUUUCUGUUGUGGCUCUCACGCAGCACCAGACUCAAGCCCCACUGCAACUGACUUAUUAGUGUUUCUUUGUUUGUUUGGUUUAUUUAUUUCUUGUUUAUGUAGUUGUUUUGGGUAAUCAGUUAAUUUGCAAGCUCUUUGGUUUCUUUAUUUUGAAUUACAGAUGGUUAUUUUGUUUAGUUCUAAUUUAGUUACAUUUCUGAUUUUGUUUAUUCUUAUAUAAGUAAAUUUUCUUUAAGUAUUUCUAUAUAGGUUAAAACAAUUAAUGUGUAUUCUUUCUGUUGGUGUGCAUGUGGGUGUGAAUGUUGUGUGUGAGUGUUUUUAGAAUAGGACAUUUUAAUAAUUCGUAUAGUUCAACCUUUGAGUGUCGCUCCACCUAAUUUUGUGUGUUUUCUUCCUGGACAGGAGCUGGUGUAGUGCGUGGCAGACUCCCUGGUGGUGGUCCCAUCUCACCUCCCUUAAGUUUGCUGUGGCACGUGGUGGUUUGGUUUGUAAUAUUGUUUUUGUGUGUUUUUAAGUUUCUUUAGUCUGUCCGCCUCACUGAGCUGUCCCUGCUCCUAUUUUUGUUUAUUUUCCCCCCUAACGAAUGGUGGUAUAGCAGACACGCAGGUUGUGAAGAAUAUGUUCAUUUUACCUCUAGUAAACCAUUGUUAAAUAAAAUAAUUUAUAUUUUUGGAA